rnacentral:rRNA from 1 species
UACAUAGACCUCAAGCGUUAUCCGGAUUUACUGGGCGUAAAGCGUGCGUAGGCGUCCGCGCAAGUCGUUCGGUGAAAUCUCCGGGCUUAACUCGGAAAUUGUCGGAGAAACUGCGUGGAUAGAGUUUGGUAGAGGCAGACGGAAUUGAAGGUGUAGCGGUAAAAUGCGUUGAUAUCUUCAAGAACACCAGUGGCGAAGGCGGAUCUGCUGGGCCAACACUGACGCUGAGGUACGAAAGCGUGGGUAGCGAACGGG